GGGUUGUGAGGUUAAGCGACUAAGCGUACACGGUGGAUGCCCUGGCAGUCAGAGGCGAUGAAGGGCGUGCUAAUCUGCGAUAAGCGCCGGUAAGGUGAUAUGAACCGUUAUAACCGGCGAUACCCGAAUGGGGAAACCCAGUGUGACUCGUCACACUAUCAUUAACUGAAUCCAUAGGUUAAUGAGGCGAACCGGGGGAACUGAAACAUCUAAGUACCCCGAGGAAAAGAAAUCAACCGAGAUUCCCCCAGUAGCGGCGAGCGAACGGGGAGGAGCCCAGAGCCUGAAUCAGCAUGUGUGUUAGUGGAAGCGUCUGGAAAGGCGCGCGAUACAGGGUGACAGCCCCGUACACAAAAGCGCAUGUGCUGUGAGCUCGAUGAGUAGGGCGGGACACGUGGUAUCCUGUCUGAAUAUGGGGGGACCAUCCUCCAAGGCUAAAUACUCCUGACUGACCGAUAGUGAACCAGUACCGUGAGGGAAAGGCGAAAAGAACCCCGGCGAGGGGAGUGAAAAAGAACCUGAAACCGUGUACGUACAAGCAGUGGGAGCACCCUUUGGGGUGUGACUGCGUACCUUUUGUAUAAUGGGUCAGCGACUUAUAUUCUGUAGCAAGGUUAACCGUAUAGGGGAGCCGGAGGGAAACCGAGUCUUAACCGGGCGUUAAGUUGCAGGGU
rnacentral:rRNA from 1 species